rnacentral:rRNA from 4 species
UGGUAACAAGGUUUCCGUAGGUGAACCUGCGGAAGGAUCAU